AGCUGAAAAGACAUAAAGGCAGUCAGCCCAGUGGUGUUUCUGGAGAGGGAUUCCUUCAGAAAUGGAGAAGACAGAAAGCUGCGGAGGCAGAUAUUUGCAGCAUGUUCGAGUGAGCAUGAUGACCACAAGUGUGUGUCAAACUUUUCAUGACCUGAUGACUGUGUUUCCCAAUCCUGAUCCUGGAGAACCCCAGCACUGCACGGUUUUGGUGUCUCUCUUAUCUGCCUUGGAGUCUUCACUGAUGAGCUGAUGAGUUGAAUCAGGUCUAAAAUAUCGAGCUCAACAGCUCACUCAAGAGCCAACCCUCACAAACCUUCCUAAAAACUAAAAGAGCUAUUACUGAGUCUCAGCGAAUCUUGCCAUGAUCAGCUCUUCCCAGAAGAGAAGGAAGACCAAGGAAAUGAUUUGCUCAGGAUGAGAAAUGAAGAUGGCCAUCUUGUGCUCAAACAAACAGAAGUCCUCUGAUGAUCUCAUCAGCCAAAUGAGGGGUUUUGACCAAGUGAUGCUCUUGAAAGGAGUGAAAGAAGAGGAUGUGCUAAAUUCUCUUCAGAGAAAAAGCUUCUCAAAAGGUCUCAAAACAGCUUGAAGAAUGGUCUGGGAUCUUAGGACUGAGAGAUCCUCUGGCUGAGAGAAGCUACACCACAUCAGUGCUGGAUAUCAACCACAAACUGUUUCCAGACACGAGAGAAGAAGAACACGAUGGGGAGAUGAAACCAGUUUAGAUGUGAUGAUGGGAAUCAUUAUUUUCUGGAACAGUAUCUCAUGUCUUAUAUGUAUCACAUGAUCUGUAUCACAGUUGAAUGGAUGGGACUGUGUGACUUUUAAGGACAUUUCAUCACUCAUCUGUGUGAACUGAUUUAUAUAUGAGGUUAAUGUAUUUUUGAUGAUAAUUAUUUUCAUUGAAUCUUAUUCGUCUUGAUGCUACUUUAUCAACUUUAUAGUCUAUGCUUCAAUAAAAUGAAAAUGGUGAA